UCAUUUUAACUCACUAAUUAAAACUGAUGCUGUGAUGUGUUUGUUCUUUAAUUGGCAGGAGGUGUUAAUGGUCCACACGCAGCUGACAUCACAGAGCACAUUCGGUCAAGCAAUGUAACUGGUCCUGGCACACGCGGGCACUUCAGAUCACCUAUGGGCAAGCAUUUGAGUCCUGACUAUACUGUCGACAAGAAUAUUGUGAGUGAUGCACACAUGCCAUCCACUUCUUAUUCACUUGCUGGUGCCUCAAAAAGAAACACCCCAAAACCCGUGAUACCCACUGAAGCAUCAAAUCCUGGUCACGGACACAGCAGCAAGGUUGGUCCUUCAAGUAGUUGGAUUUCAUCAUUGCAGCGUAUUUCUUCUGCAAAGUGAUCAAAUGGUAACUUAUCUGGUUCAUACACUGAUGUGUUUUACGGCUCCAAAAAGAAAAAAAAAAAAAUUGGAAAAGGCAUCAUUUUGCUUUAAGUUGGACUCUUUCUUAUUGCAGCAAGUGCUUGUAUCCUCUUAUUCACCAGUGUUGUUGACUAAAUAUUCACCAGUAUGCUUUUAGCUAUGGAUUUGGUCUAGAAGAUGUAGAGUUACAGUUAUGGAGCUGGAAAUGUGUGGUGAUUUGAUGUUAUGUUUUCCAUUAUGUAUCUGGUUGAAAAGUUGCUAUCGAUGCACUCAUGACAGCUGCAAAUGUGCUGCUAAUUUGAAGAAUUGCAUUUAUGAAUGCGAGCUCACAUUGUUUUCUCUUAAGGUGACUACAAACACAUUGGUUGUUAUAUGAGACACAUAUUCCGAAAGCUUGGUUACUGUGGUGUACAUAGAUGUCAUGAAUGAUUUAUAGCAACCUUGUAAUUUAUGGUUCUAUGUAACACGAGUUAUAUGUGAAAGAUUUAUUUUUCUCCUUGAUAA